UCCUCGAUGGUCUAACGGUCAUGAUUUCCGCUUGUCACUCAUUCAGAGAACAAGCGCGGGAGACCUGGGUUCGACUCCCAGUCGGGGAG
rnacentral:tRNA from 1 species